AUUGGAAGGGACUCCAGCGCCCAUUUGCAGUUCAGAGCCGGCGAGAUGCAGGAGUGUCCUUCUGUCCUCGCCACUUGGCCAGCUUCUGCGUGUUUGGCAGCUCAGGUGACUUGUGGUGGGGGCCCUCGAUCAACACUUCCAUCCCGCUGAAUUCCUAGAAGACAGGAAUUUAUGGUGUGAGAGCUCCAGUCCCCGCAGACCCACUGCCAAGGUCAACAGCACGAGGCGGGCAUCCCUGCCAAGUGGGGAGUGGAGUCGUGGCUUUAGGAGUUGGUUGCAAGGAAAAACCAAAGUACGUGCAUUAAAAAAGAAAAAAAAAAAAAAGAA
rnacentral:lncRNA from 1 species